rnacentral:lncRNA from 1 species
CUGAUUUCAUCUUUGCUGCUCCCAGGGUGGGAAUUUGCCUGGAUGAACCCCAGGAAAACAUCACAGAAAGCAGAGGAAGCCUAUCUCUGAGAGCCUCUCUCCACACCUCCUUAUGCUUCUGUCUUACCCCUGCUCUAGAUCUCCUGUAAGAAAGAGAAAGAGAGAGAGAGCGUGCACACGCAAGCACAGGAGGGCCAGAGGGAGAGGGAGAACGACUCUCAAGUAGUCCCUGUGCUGAGUGGUUCAUUGUGAUGGUGUGAGUUCCUUGGGCCUCCCUCGUUGGACCUCCUACAGGAGCUAAAGACAGAGGUUCCUGUCCAUGGGAGUGAGUUCUAUUGACAUAACUCCUAUGGAAAGCAAAGGUGCCAGAGAGAGUGAUUGCUGUAUUCCUAAUGAAACAAUUUCGAGUUCUGGACUUCUGCUGACUUUCAAAGUGACACAGUAUCACUCUGGAAUUAUCCUGGAAGAUGUUGACCUUCAUAACCAUUAUCUUCUUUGCACGUACAUCUCUUUCUCUUUCUGGAAUACCCAUUUUAACACUUGGACCUUAAACAAACCGAAGACCUAAAAAUCAAUUGUUGUUUUUUAAGGUAAAACACAGCCAGACAAUAAAUCAAUGGAAUAUGCAAAGUCCUUUGCAUAUUUUAAGAUCAAAAUCAAUAAUGAUGACAUCUUUGGCUCCCG